ensembl:lncRNA
ACAAGGUGAGAGAACAUAUUCUGAUGAUAUUUUAUGACACGAAACACAAGAUACAAAAGUAAUUAUUUAUUCAUGUUUAUGAACAGUGGAAAUGGCUGGAACAAAUUCCAAACCAUUUCAAAUUGUCACAGGAGCUUUCUGAGCUUAAAGGAGUGCUCUGGCUUUCAGUUUACCCAGUCAACAGGAAGUACCGUGCCUUUCUCAAAUAGCCCAUCGCCCUUACUUUACUGAUUAGUCAAUCUCAGCUUUCAUGGAUCUUGGCUAACUAACUGCUGGUUCAAUGCUUCUCAUUUGACUAUGGCUAAAUAGAGAUAGAUUUAACUUAGUCAGGUUAAUCUUAGCGUGGGGCCCAUCCUCAUCACUUGUCUUCACAGUUCAGUUCACCCACACGGAUCAGCCUGGACCUCCACCCACAUCCCCCAUCAGACGAUCAUCCAAACAUCACUGCCCUUGUAGCUUUACUCUACUAAUGAUAACGUUACUGCAUGUUGCUUCUGGAGACACCAUCACUGUUUGGCUAGUAUUUUACAUGAUCAACCACAUUCGGAUACGUCAUCAACUACAACACUAGAGCUGUCAAUCUACCACUAUAAUCCCAUUCCAACUUUAAUUUCUUAUUAUUUGUAAUUCUUAUAUUGAGCCCAUUAUUAUAUUUACUAUGCAGCUAAACACUUUGAACAGAGGCUUAUGAAUUGCCAAUGCCACUAUCGGCAUGUGGUUGUAAAAUGUUCUGCCACUAAAAGGGCAUUCUACCGAUAAACAUUUCUUUCUUGCGAAGUAAAUAAUCAUAUAAGGCACAAAUUGGUAUUAUAUACCAUGGCGUCAUAAUUAGCCUUGUUGUCCAUGGUGACGACUUGUUCACACGAUUGUUCAUUGUGAUUUUUUCCCACAAAAUAAAUCAUUGAGUUGAAUGGGACUGUACACAUACAACGUGAUAUGUUUUGCAAAAAUAGCAUACGAUAUUUAACGACUCUAGCCAGAGAAUUUAUCUUAGGUAUUAACACACAAUGGUGGACGAAGUACUCAGACCACGUACUGAAAGGUUGGGUAUGGAAUUCUCUUUUUUGGCCAUUUUUGCAAAAUUACUGGAAAUCCCUAUCAUAACCCACUUGCAGCCACUGAGUUAGAAGUACUGACAUGAAAAUUAAACAAGUCAAUCAUCUGUGGAACGGGCAGGGCUCAAAAAACUUCAGCCAAUGAUUUCCAGAACCACCGAUUGGCAUUGGACAGUAGUACGGCAAUCAAACGGUCGUACUGCACUCCCCCUUCCCCUCCCCACGUGUGACCCCUUUGUGCACGUACUCAAAGCUCAUGACCCAGAGCAAGCUUCUGUUUGUUGUUAUCCUGCGGUAGCUACUGGAGCUAGCUAACUAGGUAAUCCACAUUUGGACCUAGAAGACAACCCUAAACUCCAACCUAACUAGCCUGGCUCGCUCUCGCGCAUCUGUGUUCGCGCUCGUUGAUGAUUGCGCUUCCAUGUACUUGGAAUGGGUGGAGUCAGAGUCAGCGUUGAAGGAGAGGGGGUAGGACCAUUUGAGUUGUGCGAUUUCAAAAUCUGCUGCCGUUUCGCAAAUCCCAUACCCAACCUUUAAGUAAAAGUUGAAAUACCUAGUAUAAAAUAUUACUCCAGUAAAAGUGGAAGGACUUGAGUAAAAGUAUAAAAGUACUAGGCUCAAAUGUACUUAAGUAUCAAAAGUAGUUUGGUGUAAUGUAGUUCCAAUGUCUUGCCAUGUCCUUUAUACACAGUCAAAUAAAAAAAACUCUAAAUACAAUGUUUUCUAUUUGUGUUAUCUGAUAGUUAGAUCAAUGGAAACUAGAAAAUGCAUUUCCUGCAGAAUGUGCGUUGGCUGUAGCGCAAAGUGAGGUUGAAAAUAUGUUUUAGUAAAGCCACAUAGAUGUAAAGAAAUGUUAAAUAGAGUGCGUGUGUGCGUGCGUGUGUGUGACACAGCCACAGACAAUGCAUGUUUGGUACAUGAGCUAAAACAAUCCUCAAAAUAUUCAUUCAUAAAAUGAUCUUACAUUUAUGUAGAACUACAAGUAAGGAAUAAUCACCGAGAGGCAGGGCAAUAAACAGUUUGAGUGACAGAUCUGUUGGCCCUCCGUCGCCCCUAAUUACUAUUGGACAGGCAAGCAUUGUUUUUCGCAUUUAGCUUCUACCUGGAGUACACCUGGAUAUGUAGAAAGUAACUAGCCUCUAGCCAUAUAAACGGGAGUCCCCACAGAUAAAUGCCCGAUAUACAACAAUCGUAUUUCAAACGAUUAAUAAUUUUAAAAUAUAACGUAACCCUUUAGGCUUGGCAUGGUGUUUCUAGGUGUUGUAUAUUGAUGUUGUUUAGGGUCCACGAUGUCCGCAAUUGGUUAGCUGUGUCUUUAGGGUUAGGGUCAAAAAACGUCUCAAAGCAUGGAUAAAUUAAAGAAUGCACUCAUCAUAAUCCCCCUUAUCCAUGAAUCCAUUCACUACACUAUGUUACGUUGGAAUUAAAAUUAUUAAAUAAAAGUAAAUCUCCCAGUAAAAUUCAACCGUCUAAUUAAAUCCGAUAUUCAGAUAUAAAGCCCGUCUUCACAAGGCUAUAGGCAGGUAUAUAGGUUAUACCAGCAACCUAUAAAAGUAUAGUUUAUAGGUCGAGUGUGCCAUCUUUUCACUUAUGCAGUGGCAAUACGCUGCACAUUCGCAUCGCGGCUGACGUUAACUUUAAGGUGUGAAAAGUUUAUUGUUC